rnacentral:tRNA from 1 species
GGGGAUAUGGUUUAGUGGUAUAAUGCUUCCUUAGCAAUUCCGGAUAGUAUCUGGUUGCUCUUUAUGGAAGAGGUCCCGAGUUCGAUUCUUGGUGUCUCCA